UCCGAGUUGACCCCGGCAGUCUCCCCAGAGUCCCCGCCCGGGUCUCCCCUGCGCUGGUAACUGAGGACAAGGGUUGCGCUCGUUGCGGGACUUAACCCAACAUCUCACGACACGAGCUGACGACAGCCAUGCAGCACCUGUGCUUCUGUCCCGAAGGAGGCCGGUGGUUUCUCACCGGUUUCAGAAGCAUGUCAAGCCUAGGUAAGGUUCUUCGCGUUGCGUCGAAUUAAACCACAUGCUCCGCCGCUUGUGCGGGUCCCCGUCAAUUCCUUUGAGUUUUAGCCUUGCGGCCGUACUCCCCAGGCGGGGCGCUUAAUGCGUUAGCUACGGCACGGAUCCCGUGGAAGGAAACCCACACCUAGCGCCCACCGUUUACGGCGUGGACUAC
rnacentral:misc_RNA from 1 species